ACAAUUUGGAUUGGCUCUUUAAUUCUUUCUGGACUCCAAACCAACAUUUUCAAAAUUUUCUUUUAUUUUUCAGACUAAGACUCAAUGAAAUUGCUGCUCCCAUGUUCCUGAGGCCCUACAAGCUGAAGCUUAUUUCUCAUGAUAUAGGCAAGAAAAAUGUGUCAGAUUGCUACCACCUUCCUCCCUGGUAAUGGGAGAAGAUGGUAUACUACCCAACUAAUUUUAUGGAAUCUGUGGAUUAUGCUCUUUAGAAAGGAAGAUUUCCUCCCUCAAACAAGACCUCGAAGAGCCUGGUUUUCCCUAGAAUUCUCCUCACAUCUCCCCAGGACACCCUCCAGGCCUUUGUCAGGUAGUUACUGCUGAGUCUUUCAUUAUCAUUUAAAGGAAUCUCUUUCCAACAGUUAGCAUUCACUUCUCUUGCAGACUGAAUCUAACUACCUACCUACAAUAUGACAAAAUAUACAUUUAUCAGUUACAUUACACUCCUCUACACAAGGUGCUUGUUAUUUGUAAAGAUGGUUUUCAUUUAAUUUAAUUUGGUCUGUUUACUCAAUAAUAUAACUAAUUACACAGGACCAGUCAAAAUUCCAGACUACCAGUUAGUCUAGGGGGCCCCACAGGAAGCUCCAAAGCAAUGAGAAUGUUCCUUCCCGGUAAGCCAUGCUAUAGGUAAAUAAGUGGCUAUAUAAACCAGGAGUUAGCAAACUAUUUCAGGAAGGCCAGAUAGCCACUUGUUUUUGUAAAUAAAAAGUUGUAAUGGAACA
rnacentral:lncRNA from 1 species